rnacentral:misc_RNA from 1 species
GUACGAAAAGCUCACUAGUUCAGAAAGAAAAGGAAAAAAAAGAAAUGCUAAAGCCUAAUGACCCAAACCAUAGAAGUUCUUCAAAUUAAAUAAUCAUAAAAUGAUAAUAAACAGAGGUCAAAUCAAAUAGUUGUCAUCAUACUCGAACAUAUUUCUGUUAAAUGAUAAAUAGAAGGACAACUCCUUGCCUAGAAGUGUAAUUAAUUGGGCCUUUAGAUUCAUAAGUUAAAUGGUAUGCCACUCACAUAAUUUCCAACCCAUAAAUAGGGAACAAAAAAGAACGAACAUACAUUUAUUGGCAUUUCAGCUAUGAC